rnacentral:rRNA from 1 species
UACAGGGGGGCAAGCGUUGUUCGGAAUUACUGGGCGUAAAGGCUCGUAGGCGGCCAACUAAGUCAGACGUGAAAUCCCUCGGCUUAACCGGGGAACUGCGUCUGAUACUGGAUGGCUAGAGGUUGGGAGAGGGAUGCGGAAGUUCCAGGUGUAGCGGUGAAAUGCGUAGAUAUCUGGAGGAACACCGGUGGCGAAGGCGGCAUCCUGGACCAAUUCUGACGCUGAUGAGCGAAAGCCAGGGGAGCAAACGGGG